rfam:Chaetomium thermophilum var. thermophilum DSM 1495 unplaced genomic scaffold scf7180000011818, whole genome shotgun sequence.
GCCCGUAUAGCUCAGUGGUAGAGCGCAUCACUCGUAUCGCCUAGCGACAUGAUGAGGUCCGCGGUUCAAUCCCGCGUGGGGGCA